rnacentral:piRNA from 1 species
CAGUGACUGGAAUCAAUGAAACUUCU